rnacentral:rRNA from 1 species
GUCUGUGUGUAAUAUAUACUAAGUCUGGCCUGCCCACUGAAAUAUUUAAAGGGCUGCGGUAAUUUGACCGUGCGAAGGUAGCAUAAUCAAUAGUCUUUUAAUUGAAGGCUUGAAUGAACGGUCUGACAAGAAAAUAGCUGUCUUAGUGAGUUAAGGCGAAUUUAACAUUUAUGUGAAAAGGCAUAAAUAGCUUAAGGGGACGAUAAGACCCUAUAAAACUUGAUAUUUUUAAGUUUAGUUUUAAAAAUUCGAGAGUAAAUUGAGAGAUAACAAAGAUAUUGUGCUGGGGUGGCAAAGAUAAAAUAAAAUAACUGUCUUUAAAAUAAAAUAAUAAUAAUUAGAUGAUGAUCCCUUAGUUGGGAUUAUAAGAUUAAGUUACUUUAGGGAUAACAGCGUAAUUUCUUUUGAGAGUCCUUAUCGACAAAGUUAGUUGCGACCUCGAUGUUGAAUUAAAGUUUCCCCUAGGAGUAGGUAUUUAGUGGGUAGGUCUGUUCGACCUUUAAUAAUUUUACAUGAUUUGAGUUCAAACCGGUGUGAG